rnacentral:rRNA from 1 species
GAUGAACGCUAGCUACAGGCUUAACACAUGCAAGUCGAGGGGCAUCACAGUGUAGCAAUACACGGGUGGCGACCGGCGCACGGGUGCGUAACACGUAUCCAAUCUGCCCGUUACUCGGGGAUAGCCUUCUGGAAGGAAGAUUAAUACCCGAUGGCAUGUAUUUCCGGCAUCGGAGAUACAUUAAAGAUUAAUCGGUAACGGAUGAGGAUGCGUACGAUUAGCUGGUUGGCGGGGUAACGGCCCACCAAGGCGACGAUCGUUAGGGGUUCUGAGAGGAAGGUCCCCCACACUGGAACUGAGACACGGUCCAGACUCCUACGGGAGGCAGCAGUGAGGAAUAUUGGUCAAUGGGCGCGAGCCUGAACCAGCCAAGUAGCGUGAAGGAUGACUGCCCUACGGGUUGUAAACUUCUUUUGUUUGGGAAUAAAUGAUACUACGUGUAGUAUUUUGCAUGUACCUUACGAAUAAGCAUCGGCUAAUUCCGUGCCAGCCGCCGCGGUAACAC